CCUACGGGAGGCAGCAGUGGGGAAUAUUGCACAAUGGGGGAAACCCUGAUGCAGCGACGCCGCGUGAGUGAAGAAGGAUUUCGGAUCGUAAAGUCCUAUCAGUAGGGAAGAAAAUGACGGUAUCUGACUAAGAAGCACCGGCUAACUACGUGCCAGCAGCCGCGGUAAUACGUAGGGGGCAAGCGUUACUCGGAUUUACUGGGGGUAAAGGGAGCGUAGGCGGCAGCACAAGUCUGGAGUGAAAUCCCGGGGCUUAACCCUGGAACUGCUUUGGAAACUGUGCGGCUGGAGUGCAGGAGGGGUAAGUGGAAUUCCUAGUGUAGGGGUGAAAUGCGUAGAGAUUAGGAGGAACAC
rnacentral:rRNA from 1 species